rnacentral:tRNA from 1 species
UUAGGAGUGCCAGAAUUUAAUGGGGCUGGUUUAGGACCUGUUUAUGGUUUUUACCCUCUUGCA